rnacentral:rRNA from 1 species
UACAGAGGUGGCAAGCGUUGCUCGGUAUCACUGGGCUUAAAGGGCGCGUAGGCGGUCCGCCAAGUCAGGGGUGAAAUCCUGCAGCUUAACUGUAGAAGUGCCUCUGAUACUGGCGGUCUUGAGGGAAAUAGGGGUGUGCGGAACUUCCAGUGGAGGCGGUGAAAUGCGUUGAUAUUGGAAGGAACGCCGGAGGCGAAAGCGGCGCACUGGAUUUCUUCUGACGCUGAGGCGCGAAAGCUAGGGGAGCAA